rnacentral:rRNA from 1 species
CCUACGGGCGGCAGCAGUGGGGAAUAUUGGACAAUGGGGGGAACCCUGAUCCAGCCAUGCCGCGUGUGUGAAGAAGGCCCUCGGGUUGUAAAGCACUUUCAGUGAGGAAGAACGCCUGGUGGUUAAUACCCAUCAGGAAAGACAUCACUCACAGAAGAAGCACCGGCUAACUCCGUGCCAGCAGCCGCGGUAAUACGGAGGGUGCGAGCGUUAAUCGGAAUUACUGGGCGUAAAGCGCGCGUAGGUGGCUUGAUAAGCCGGUUGUGAAAGCCCCGGGCUCAACCUGGGAACGGCAUCCGGAACUGUCAAGCUAGAGUGCACGAGAGGAAGGUAGAAUUCCCGGUGUAGCGGUGAAAUGCGUAGCGAUCGGGAGGAAUACCAGUGGCGAAGGCGGCCUUCUGGACUGACACUGACACUGAGGUGCGAAAGCGUGGGUAGCAAACAGGAUUAGAUACCCGUGUAGUC